rnacentral:rRNA from 1 species
GAUGAACGCUGGCGGCGUGCCUAAUACAUGCAAGUCGAGCGAACGGACGAGAAGCUUGCUUCUCUGAUGUUAGCGGCGGACGGGUGAGUAACACAUGGAUAACCUACCUAUAAGACUGGGAUAACUUCGGGAAACCGGAGCUAAUACCGGAUAAUAUUUUGAACCGCAUGGUUCAAAAGUGAAAGACGGUCUUGCUGUCACUUAUAGAUGGAUCCGCGCUGCAUUAGCUAGUUGGUAAGGUAACGGCUUACCAAGGCAACGAUGCAUAGCCGACCUGAGAGGGUGAUCGGCCACACUGGAACUGAGACACGGUCCAGACUCCUACGGGAGGCAGCAGUAGGGAAUCUUCCGCAAUGGGCGAAAGCCUGACGGAGCAACGCCGCGUGAGUGAUGAAGGUCUUCGGAUCGUAAAACUCUGUUAUUAGGGAAGAACAUAUGUGUAAGUAACUGUGCACAUCUUGACGGUACCUAAUCAGAAAGCCACGGCUAACUACGUGCCAGCAGCCGCGGUAAUACGUAGGUGGCAAGCGUUAUCCGGAAUUAUUGGGCGUAAAGCGCGCGUAGGCGGUUUUUUAAGUCUGAUGUGAAAGCCCACGGCUCAACCGUGGAGGGUCAUUGGAAACUGGAAAACUUGAGUGCAGAAGAGGAAAGUGGAAUUCCAUGUGUAGCGGUGAAAUGCGCAGAGAUAUGGAGGAACACCAGUGGCGAAGGCGACUUUCUGGUCUGUAACUGACGCUGAUGUGCGAAAGCGUGGGGAUCAAACAGGAUUAGAUACCCUGGUAGUCCACGCCGUAAACGAUGAGUGCUAAGUGUUAGGGGGUUUCCGCCCCUUAGUGCUGCAGCUAACGCAUUAAGCACUCCGCCUGGGGAGUACGACCGCAAGGUUGAAACUCAAAGGAAUUGACGGGGACCCGCACAAGCGGUGGAGCAUGUGGUUUAAUUCGAAGCAACGCGAAGAACCUUACCAAAUCUUGACAUCCUUUGACAACUCUAGAGAUAGAGCCUUCCCCUUCGGGGGACAAAGUGACAGGUGGUGCAUGGUUGUCGUCAGCUCGUGUCGUGAGAUGUUGGGUUAAGUCCCGCAACGAGCGCAACCCUUAAGCUUAGUUGCCAUCAUUAAGUUGGGCACUCUAAGUUGACUGCCGGUGACAAACCGGAGGAAGGUGGGGAUGACGUCAAAUCAUCAUGCCCCUUAUGAUUUGGGCUACACACGUGCUACAAUGGACAAUACAAAGGGCAGCGAAACCGCGAGGUCAAGCAAAUCCCAUAAAGUUGUUCUCAGUUCGGAUUGUAGUCUGCAACUCGACUACAUGAAGCUGGAAUCGCUAGUAAUCGUAGAUCAGCAUGCUACGGUGAAUACGUUCCCGGGUCU